GCCUAUCUUUCAUUUCUCUUCCCUCUUCUGCUUUGGCAACCACAGUUCUACACUCCCAAAAACUCAAAGCACUUUCAUGAAUCAUGGAACCCAAGUUGGUCCUCGUUUUACUUCUCCUUGCUUCCACUUCAUUACCUUUUCUCUCACACUUGCAAUUGGCUUCAGCUGCCACACCCAAGCUCAGCACUCAAGAGGUGAUGGCAUUGAAGGAGAUAGGGAGGAAGAUAGGGAAGAAAGAUUGGGAUUUUGGGGUGGAACCAUGCAGUGGAAAAGGGAAUUGGAAUGUGUCAGAUAAUAGGAAAGGCUUUGAGAGUUCUGUGAUUUGUGAUUGUUCCUUUAAUCACAAUACUUCUUGCCGUGUUGUAAGCAUAUCCUUGAAGGCCCAGAAUCUCUCUGGUACACUCUCACCAGAGUUUUCCAAGCUUCGUUAUCUCAAAAUAUUGGACCUUAGUCGUAACAUCAUCACUGGUUCUAUACCUCAACAAUGGGCUACCAUGAAAUUGGUUGAGCUCUCUUUCAUGGGAAACAGAUUAUCAGGGCCAUUCCCCAAAGCUCUCACCAAUAUUACAACCCUCAGAAACUUGAGUAUUGAAGGAAAUCAAUUUUCAGGCUUCAUUCCGAUGGAGAUUGGGAAGUUGAUCAAUUUAGAAAAACUCAUUCUGUCAUCCAAUGCAUUCACAGGAGCAUUGUCAUCCGCACUUUCCAAGUUGACCAACUUGACUGAUUUGAGGAUAAGCGACAAUAAUUUCUCGGGUAGGAUACCUGAUUUCAUUAGUAAAUGGACAUUGAUUGAAAAGCUGCACAUUCACGGUUGCUCUCUUGAGGGGCCCAUACCUUCUAGCAUUUCUGCCUUGACAAGAUUAAGUGAUUUGAGGAUAACUGACCUAGAAGGUAGUAAAAGCUCUGCUUUCCCACCACUAAGCAAUAUGAAAUCCAUGAAGACACUGGUAUUGAGAAAAUGCAUGAUUAAAGGAGAGAUCCCGGAUUAUAUUGGCAGCAUGGAGAAACUGAAAAUUUUAGAUUUGAGUUACAAUGGUUUGAGUGGAAAAAUACCUGAAUCUUUUGCGCAACUUGACAAAGUGGACUUCAUGUAUCUUACUGGGAACAAGUUAUCAGGGACUAUACCUGGCUGGGUCCUUGAAAAUAACAAAGCUAUUGAUGUCUCUGACAAUAACUUCUCCUGGGAUAGCUCAAGUCCAACUGAAUGUCAACGAGGGAACAUAAACCUUGUUGAGAGCUACUCUUCAUCUGCGGAUACACAAAGUAAGAUUCAUUCAUGCCUAAAAAGGACCUUUCCAUGCCCUGCUUCAGUUAGCCAAUAUCAGUACUCCCUCCACAUCAAUUGCGGUGGUAAGGAAGCAAAUAUUAGUGGUCAUAUUUAUGAAGCUGACAAAGAACGAAAAGGAGCUUCAAUGUUAUACACUGCCCAGGAUUGGGCUCUUAGUAGCACUGGAAACUUCAUGGACAAUGAUAUUGACUCUGAUCCCUAUAUUGUGGCCAAUACUUCUAGACUUAAUGUCUCUGUACUCAACUCACAACUAUACACAACAGCUCGUGUUUCUCCCCUUGCUCUCACAUACUAUGGCCUCUGCCUAAUGAAUGGAAAAUACACUGUUAAGCUUCACUUUGCAGAGAUUACUUUCAUCAAUGAUAGGUCAUUUAACAGUCUUGGGAGGCGUGUAUUUGAUGUCUACAUCCAGGGGAAAUUAGUGCUGAAAGACUUUGAUAUCCAAAGAGAAGCUGGUGGUACUGAGAAGCCACUUGUGAAGACAUUUAAUGCUACUGUUACUCAACAUACUCUGAAGAUUCACUUCUACUGGGCUGGAAAAGGAACCACUGGCAUACCCACAAGAGGAGUCUAUGGACCUCUAAUAUCUGCUAUUUCGGUAGACCCUAAUUUUAAACCUCCAUCAGCAGAGGAUGGCAACAGAACUUAUGUCAUACUGGCAGCUAGCAUAGUUGCUGGUGCUGUAGUUGUUCUUCUUCUGGUGCUGGUUAUCAUGAGGAGGAAGGGAUGGUUAGGAGGCAAAGACCCAGUAUAUAAAGAGCUUAGGGGUAUAGAUCUGCAGACAGGAUUAUUUACGUUAAGACAAAUCAAAGCAGCAACCAAAAACUUUGAUGCAGCAAAUAAAAUUGGUGAAGGUGGUUUUGGUUCUGUUUACAAGGGCCUACUAUCAGAUGGUACAGUAAUUGCAGUAAAGCAACUCUCUUCAAAAUCUAAACAAGGAAAUCGUGAGUUUGUGAAUGAGAUAGGAAUGAUAUCCGGACUUCAACAUCCUAAUCUUGUUAAGCUUUAUGGAUGUUGUGUGGAGGGGAACCAACUAAUACUGAUAUAUGAGUAUAUGGAAAAUAAUUGUCUAUCCCGCAUUCUUUUUGGGAAGGAUCCAAACUGCAGAAUGAAACUAGACUGGCAAACCAGGAAGAAAAUUUGCCUUGGUAUAGCUCAAGCCUUGGCUUAUCUACAUGAAGAGUCCAGAAUAAAGAUCAUACAUAGGGAUAUAAAGGCAAGUAAUGUGUUGCUCGAUAAGGACUUUAAUGCUAAAGUCUCAGAUUUUGGCUUGGCAAAACUUAUUGAAGAGGACAAAACCCAUAUUAGCACUCGAAUUGCAGGAACAAUGUAAGUUGGCAGUUUGCUAUUAUUUCUAUUCUUUUUCUCUCACAACAUGGCAUUGAAAUCUUCAUAAUAGUUUGGAGGAAGCUUCAAUCUUGUUUGUCAUGAAAAAUGAAAGAAAAAAGUCCAUAAUUCACUGAAAAAGAAUAAAGUGUAUAUUGUCAUGGACCAGCCUGUAUACAAAACCCUUCAUGCAAAUUCUUUUGGACCUGAAGUACGAAGAAGACACGUGUCUACCUCAAUCUUAUGCUGAAAUCAUAAUUAAAUUCGAACACACGUAGCAAGGAACUUCUCAUUUAAGCAUGGUUAUAUGGCCCCUGAGUAUGCAAUGCGUGGGUAUCUAACUGACAAAGCAGAUGUCUACAGCUUCGGGGUGGUUGCAUUAGAAACUGUCAGCGGAAAGAGCAAUACAAAUUACAGGCCUAACGAAGAUUUUGUUUACCUUCUUGAUUGGGCCUAUGUUUUGCAAGAGAGAGGAAGUCUUCUGGAGCUGGUUGAUCCAGAUUUGGGUUCAGAAUAUUCAACUGAGGAGGCCAUGAUAGUCCUAAACGUGGCUCUCUUAUGUACCAACGCAUCUCCGACACUUAGACCAACAAUGUCCCAAGUUGUGAGCAUGCUUGAAGGUUGGACUGACAUUCAGGAUCUACUUUCUGAUCCGGGAUAUUCAGCUGUUAGUUCCAGUUCCAAAUAUAAGAGUAUAAGAAAUCACUUCUGGCAGAAUCCAAGCGGAACACACAGUAUGUCAAUACCUAGUAUAUAUACGAAUUCCUCUAGUUCACAUGUUGAAAAAGAAAAGAGCUACCAUCUUGUAACCAAUAAUCCAGAUACAUCAGACACGUGAAGAUAGUUUCCUAACAUCAUGUACUUAAUCCAAAACUCCUGAUGUAUU